AUUUUCCUAAACUUGGAAGUUUUCGGAGCGCUCAUGGUGUCUGGAGCUGUGCAGAGGAGACGCGAGGAAAAGCGCGCUGCCUUCGAGCAAACGUCGACUCCUUGAUUGAUUACGAACAAACAGCAAGAAAAGUGAAUCGAACCAGAAGUCCAGGGGGUGGAACUAGAUCUGAUCCAACUCCUAAACACACACAACACUACAAUAAACCACACACCAAACCUGACUUUGAAUUUAUCUACAGCAUCUAAAUGAUUAGACAUUAAAAAAAUGUAUUUUCCAGCUUUGUCAGGUAUAAAUAAAUAUAGCACUCUUAAUUCUGCA